rnacentral:rRNA from 1 species
CGGGGUAGGAAGUAAUGUCGUGGAACUGCCUGAUGGAGGGGGAUAACUGCUGGAAACGGUAGCUAAUACCGCAUAACGUCGCAAGACCAAAGAGGGGGACCUUCGGGCCUCUUGCCAUCGGAUGUGCCCAGAUGGGAUUAGCUAGUAGGUGGGGUAACGGCUCACCUAGGCGACGAUCCCUAGCUGGUCUGAGAGGAUGCCAGCCACACUGGAACUGAGACACGGUCCAG